rnacentral:tRNA from 1 species
GAAAAGAGAAGGGAAACAGAGAGUGAUUGACGUGGAAACGAAAGGACAAUGAAGUCUGAGACCAUUA